rnacentral:sRNA from 1 species
UGUCUGUAUCAUAAUAACUGUGUUACCUCUGUAGGCAUUAAAUCGAAAGAGUGAAAGAAACGAUUACUUAUGAAAGCCCUUCUUAACGUCCUCAGCCUUGUCCUAUUUAACGUCGUCGUGAUUAUUAUCACGCCGCGCGGGGCUGCGCCUGGAGAAAGAAAGGCUUAGAAAUCAAGUCUGAAUUCGAAAGAACCCCCGCACCGAAAGGUCCGGGGGUUUUUUUUUACCAUGUAUCAGUGACAGAGGAACGAAAAAUGGCCAGCAGAAUAAAAUGCUGUUGUUCUCUGA